rnacentral:lncRNA from 1 species
GAAAACAAACAAUAACGUUAUUAUUUUAAGUAUAUACAAGUAGGAGGCAAGGUACCCGGUGAUUUGUCGAAUUUGAUGUUCCUCUUUAGCUGUCUUGAGGAUAAUAGUUCACUUGGCUCAAUGGCACCGGGGCCAAUCUCCAAGAACCAGCACAACUCUCUCAUUUUGUCCACUUUGCCAAUCCAUAUAUACUUUCAUUUCCCAAUUAAACAUGAUGCAUGGGAUCUUCAAAUUAUAAUAAUCUCUCUCUCUCUCUCUCUCUCUCUCUCUCUCUCUCUCUCU